GUGGGGAAUCUUGCGCAAUGGGCGAAAGCCUGACGCAGCCAUGCCGCGUGAAUGAUGAAGGUCUUAGGAUUGUAAAAUUCUUUCACCGGGGACGAUAAUGACGGUACCCGGAGAAGAAGCUCCGGCUAACUUCGUGCCAGCAGCCGCGGUAAUACGAAGGGGGCUAGCGUUGCUCGGAAUUACUGGGCGUAAAGGGCGCGUAGGCGGACAGCUUAGUCAGAGGUGAAAGCCCAGGGCUCAACCUUGGAAUUGCCUUUGAUACUGGCUGUCUUGAGUUUGGGAGAGGUGAGUGGAACUCCGAGUGUAGAGGUGAAAUUCGUAGAUAUUCGGAAGAACACCAGUGGCGAAGGCGACUCACUGGCCCGUUACUGACGCUGAGGCGCGAAAGCGUGGGGAGCAAACAGGAUUAGAAACCCUUGUAGUCC
rnacentral:rRNA from 1 species